CACAGAGUUCCACCUAUCCAUUUGCAGAUGCUAGAAAAAGAGAGUUUCAAAACUGCUCUAUCAAAAGGACUGUUCAACUCUGUGAGUUGAAUGCAAUCAUCACAGAGAAGUUUCUGAGAAGGCUUCUGUCUAGAUUUUAUGUGAAGAUAUACCCGUUUCGAACGAAGACCACAAAGUGCUCCAAAUAUCCACUUGCAGGUCCUCCAACAAGAGUGUUUCAAACGUGAACUAUCAAAGGAAGGUUCAACUCUGGACUUUGAAUGCAAACGUCAGAAAGAUGUUUCUGCGAAAGCUUCUGUUUAGUUAGGUGACGUUAUCCCGUUUCCAAAGAAAUCCUCAGAGAGGUCCAAAUAUCCACCUGCAGAGUCU
rnacentral:lncRNA from 10 species